ensembl:lncRNA
AGGAUUAGGAUUAGAUUAACAGUAGUGUGUGUGUGAGGAUUAGGAUUAGAUUAACAGUAUAGAGUGUGUGAGAGGAUUAGGAUUAGAUUAACAGUAGAGUGUGUGAGUAUUAGGAUUAGAUUAACAGUAGUGUGUGUGUGAGGAUUAGGAUUAGAUUAACAGUAGAGUGUGUGUGAGGAUUAGGAUUAGAUUAACAGUAGAGUGUGUGAGGAUUAGGAUUAGAUUAACAGUAGAGUGUGUGAGAGGAUUAGGAUUAGAUUAACAGUAGAGUGUGUGUGAGGAUUAGGAUUAGAUUAACAGUAGAGUGUGUGAGGAUUAGGAUUAGAUUAACAGUGGAGUGUGUGAGUAUUAGGAUUAGAUUAACAGUAGAGUGUGUGAGGAUUAGGAUUAGAUUACCAGUAGAGUGUGUGAGGAUUAGAUUAACAGUCGAGUGUGUGUGAGGAUUAGGAUUAGAUUACCAGUAGAGUGUGUGAGGAUUAGAUUAACCAUCGAGUGUGUGAGGAUUAGAUCAACAGUCGAGUGUGUGCGUGUGUGUGAGGAUUAGGAUUAGAUAAACCGUGUGUUCCGUACACAGAGAGUGAGAGAAAGACUUCACAAUGUUGUACAGUAAAAAUACAGUAUUACUCCGUAAUCCUCACACCAGCACAUUCACUCUUCUAAAAGCAAUCCCGUCUCUCUUUUUUCUCAUGUCUCUAAUUCAUCCUUCCUUUUACUCUUAUAUUUCCCCCUCAGUUGAAUCCGUUCUUUGUGGAAUGUUAUUUCCUGCAGUAUUUUAUUAACCUGCUUAUUGAAAACGGUUGACGUGAGUAAUCCGGCCUCACUCCGCUUUAAUACACGGACCUGCUGUGCACGAUGCUACUUAUUUUACCUGUGCAUUAGUCUGUUUCAUCCAUCAUGAGCUCCACAACGAUGGCUGGAUCAGAUCCAAUUUCACAGGGGAAUUGAGUGGAACGAGUCAGAUUGCUAGCGUGCACCAUGACAGACAGCAAGAGCAUUUGGGCAGGAGUGAAGGGAUAUAUAGUAUACACUAUAUAAUACUAAAGCAAUACCGCUAUGUGUAUCCGCAUCCGUUUCGUGCUCCGAAUAUCCAUAUCUAGAUUAGGAUUUAAACCCGAAGUGGGCGUGGCCUAAACACGGUAUAUGGAACAUAACUUCGUUUUCACUAAUCGUGGUUUAAUUUACGCUUUCAACGUUUCCGUUUGCCAUCCUGGCACAGAUCUCACAUGCGGGCAGGGCUUAACACAUGAUUUCCUCUCAUUGGCUAGUGAGAUUUGGAUCGACAGCUCCCUGUCCAGGAAGUAGAGAUUUGAGCGGUGUGCAUUCUGGAGGCGUUUCUCUGUAUACUGUAGUUACA